GACGAACGCUGGCGGCGUGCUUAACACAUGCAAGUCGAACGGAAAGGCCCUGCUUUUGUGGGGUGCUCGAGUGGCGAACGGGUGAGUAACACGGGAGUAACCUGCCCUUGACUUUGGGAUAACUUCAGGAAACUGGGGCUAAUACCGGAUAGGAGCUCCUGCUGCAUGGUGGGGGUUGGAAAGUUUCGGCGGUUGGGGAUGGACUCGCGGCUUAUCAGCUUGUUGGUGGGGUAGUGGCUUACCAAGGCUUUGACGGGUAGCCGGCCUGAGAGGGUGACCGGCCACCUUGGGACUGCGAUACGGCCCAGACUCCUACGGGAGGCAGCAGUGGGGAAUAUUGCACAAUGGGCGGAAGCCUGAUGCAGCAACGCCGCGUGCGGGAUGACGGCCUUCGGGUUGUAAACCGCUUUCGCCUGUGACGAAGCGUGAGUGACGGUAAUGGGUAAAGAAGCACCGGCUAACUACGUG
rnacentral:rRNA from 1 species